rnacentral:rRNA from 1 species
AUGUAUGAUAAAUUAUGCAUGGUGGAUUUGCCACAAAUACGAUGUCAACUGCAUGAUCAUGCAAAGCAAUAUGACAAUGAUGAAGUGUGUCAUAAAGGAAACGAUGGAAAGUUGCAUGGCAAUAUAUCUCGAAAUGGCUAUGGAAAUGCCAUAACAGGUAGGUAUGGUGGCUGUUUUGAGGAAGAUAUAAGGAGGAUUAUGUGUGACAGAGCGUAUCAUAUCACGGGGUUUGGAUGCACCGGCGAAGUUUGCACCAACUCUCAAGGUGAGAAAGGGCAAUGCACGGUACCGAAGAGGCUAGCAAUGAUGGAAGGGUGA